rnacentral:rRNA from 1 species
UACGUAGGAGACAAGCGUUGUCCGGAAUUACUGGGUGUAAAGCGCGUGUAGGUGGUAGGCCAAGUCUGCUGUGAAAUCGCCCGGCUUAACUGGGCGCGGUCGGUGGAAACUGGUCAACUGGAGGACGGUAGAGGCGAGUGGAAUUCCCGGUGUAGUGGUGAAAUGCGUAGAGAUCGGGAGGAACACCAGUGGCGAAGGCGGCUCGCUGGGCCGGUCCUGACACUGAGACGCGAAAGCGUGGGGAGCAAACAGA